UUGAUGCAUCUUUGGCAGCAAUGAAGUCUCAAGUCUUUUUGAAUAUGAUGCCGCAAGCUUGGCACACCUAUCUUUGGGCAGUUUCGCCUAUUCCUCUUUGCCCAUUUGCCUUUGCCCAUUCGUCUUUGCCCAUUCGUCUUCGCAGCACCUCUCAAGAUCCAUUGGAUUGUACGGGAAGCAUUCUUUUUCAUCCAGGAUGUUUCUGUACAUUUCUGCAUUCAUCUUUCCCACUGUCCUGACUAGUCUCCUCGUUUCUGUCAUGGCAGGAUCCUUGAGGGGGCAUGGGAGUUUGCCCAACCAGUCUAAAUGUGUUUUGUGGACUUGGGAGAAGGCAUUCGAUCUUGUCCCUCGAGAAGUCCUGCGGAGAGUGCUCAGAGAGUGUGGGAUAUUGGACCGCCUGAUUGUGACAUUCCGUUCGCUGUAUGAUCAGUGUCAGAGCUUAGUCCGCAUUGCUGACAGUGCAGUCAGGGCGUUGAGGGGAUCCGAUUUGGUGGCUGCAGGAUUAGGUCUCUGCUUUUUGCAGAAAAUGUGGUCUUGCUGGCUUCAUCUGACCAGGAUAUUCAGCUCUCACUUCUUCGCAGUUGAGUGCGAAGCCACUGGGAUGAAAAUCAGCACUUCCAAGUCCGAGUCCAUGGUUCUCGCCCGGAAAAGGGUGUAAUGCCUUCUCCGGAAUGAGGAGGAGAUCAGGUUUUUGGUCACCUACCUGACUAUAGACCAAAAUGAAUGCAGCAAUUGACAUUGACAUUGACAUCCUGGAUGACAAUUAACACUUCCCGUUCAACCUGAUGGAGAGUAACAGGUGCUGCAAAGAGGAAGGAAAGAUAGGAAUGGGCGAAACUUCACAAAAAAAGUUGUGCCUAGCUUGUGGCAUCAUAUUCAAAAAUACUUAAGGUUGUAAUUGCUGCCAAAGGUGCAUCAACAAAAUAUUGAGCAAACGCCGUGAAUACUUAAGUACAUGUAAUAAAGCGUUUUAUUUCUAA